UUCUCUUUCUUUCUCGUUCUUCUUCUUUCCUCGUCUCUUUUCUUUCUUCCCCUGUUCUUUCUCUUCUGCAUGUGAUUGAGAAAUCAAAUGGAGGCGACGUGAUCAAAAUAUGGUGGAGUAGAUCAUGCAGUAGUCGCAGGUGAUGGUGUUGAAGAUGAAUUAUCGUUGGAUGAAGAAGAAAGUACGGAUUGGAGAGAAUUGAAGUUAGGGUUUGAGACUAUUUGAGAGGUGAAUUGGGUUGCCGUUGGAUGAAGAACAAUAGGGUUGUAUCUGAAUUGAAGUUAUGGGGUAUUUUUGAAAAUGAAUCAAGAGUUAGGGUUUCUCAGAGAUUUGAAUUAGGGUUUUUAGAUUUGGUUAUUGAACUGAAGAUCUAGAAGAUGAAAUGUGGAGCUACUAUUAGAUGAAGAAGAAUGGGUAGGUGUUUAAGUGAGAUUUUGAAGUUAAUUCGGUGAUGCAUCAGUGAAUCAUGGUUUGUUUUCUGUUCUUCCCCAAAUUAAGAACUAGGGUUACAUAAGAAGUUCAAAGAGGAAUUCGAUGAUGAAAUUGAUGUUAUCAAAGGAUGCUUAGGGAUGGGUUUAUCCUAAAUUAAAGCUUGAAGUUGAAGAACAACCAGAAUUUGGUAGUUGGAGAUUAGUUGAGAACUGUUGGUGAUAAUGGGAUUGAUAUGGUGAAGGAUUGCUUGAGAAGAAUCAUUUGGAGGUAAUUGUUCUUCUGAGUUCAUUUAGAUUAAGUUAUUUAAUCUUCUUGUUUGAGUUUAGGAAGUUGAUAAUUGGUUUACUGUUUGAGUUGAUUGUAAGGUUAAUUGAGGUGAUGAUGUAGUGGUGGUGUAAUUGUGGAACUCAGUAGGUGAAUGAGGUUGUUGUGGUGGUUGUGAGGAUGGAGGUUCUGAAAUGGUAUGUGGAGCUUUGGUGGUUUACCGUGAUGAAUGGAGUAGUCAGUUUGAUAGUGUUAUUACUGGUGUUGUGUAUUUGUAUCAAAGAAUUGUGUUAGAAGAUAUAAAUGGGGUUGAAUUUCUGGUGAUGAUGGUGUUGUUCUUCAUGGAGAAAUAGAAUUUGGGUCAUGAUGGUGGAGUUAAAGUGUUGUAUGUUUCCUGGGAUGGUCUUACAGUUCAUGAGAAUGGUAUUGAUGUUAUGAGAGUUGUGGUUAAGCUGAGGUUGUUUGACUAAAGAAGAAACAACAAAUAGUUUGGGGUUGUGUUAAGUUGAUAGUGGUAUUUCAUAGAAACUAGAAUGACAGUGAAAGCUGAGUAUGAGUUGCAAUUGGAGCAACAUAGGAAUUGGUUAUGAAUCAUAUACUGGUAAGAUGUGUAAGCUGAAGAAGAGUGUAAUGCUGUUAUGACAGUGAUCUCAGUAAAAGCCUGCAAUGCAGAUCAAGGUGCGGGACGAGUCACCAUAUAGCUAUCUAGGUACGGGAUGAGUCACCAUGAUUGCAUGAUCAGCUGCUAGCCUUGGGGGCGCUACAAUUACCAUGAUUUCAAAUUAGUGGAGUGUGUGAAUGGUAAGAUAUGUAAGUACAAUUCUCGUAGUUCAUUUUCGUAUUGAGUAGUCAUUGUAAAUAAAUGUCUUUUAUCUUGUCUUGUUUGGUAAAAACAUAUGUC